rnacentral:rRNA from 1 species
AUUGAACGCUGGCGGCAGGCCUAACACAUGCAAGUCGAGCGGAUGAAGGGAGCUUGCUCCUGGAUUCAGCGGCGGACGGGUGAGUAAUGCCUAGGAAUCUGCCUGGUAGUGGGGGAUAACGUCCGGAAACGGGCGCUAAUACCGCAUACGUCCUGAGGGAGAAAGUGGGGGAUCUUCGGACCUCACGCUAUCAGAUGAGCCUAGGUCGGAUUAGCUAGUUGGUGGGGUAAAGGCCUACCAAGGCGACGAUCCGUAACUGGUCUGAGAGGAUGAUCAGUCACACUGGAACUGAGACACGGUCCAGACUCCGACGGGAGGCAGCAGUGGGGAAUAUUGGACAAUGGGCGAAAGCCUGAUCCAGCCAUGCCGCGUGUGUGAAGAAGGUCUUCGGAUUGUAAAGCACUUUAAGUUGGGAGGAAGGGCAGUAAGUUAAUACCUUGCUGUUUUGACGUUACCAACAGAAGAAGCACCGGCUAACUUCGU